rnacentral:rRNA from 1 species
GCCAAUGGCAAUGGCACGUUGAAUGCAUCAGUUUUCAAUGGAUCACUGAAGAUAAACAACGUUGCGCGUGGUUGGUAUCCGAAGGGAUGACCAUCUGAACGCUGAAAAAGAGCAUUCGCU